rnacentral:rRNA from 1 species
CAAGUCGAACGCGAAAGAAGCCUUCGGGUUUCAAGUAGAGUGGCGCACGGGUGAGUAACACGUAGGUAAUCUACCUUCGGGUGGGGAAUAACCCAGGGAAACUUGGGCUAACACCGCAUAAUGCAGCGGCACCACAUGGUGACAGUUGUUAAAGCGGGGGAUUUUCGGACCUCGCGCCUGAAGAGGAGCCUGCGGCAGAUUAGCUAGUUGGUAGGGUAACGGCUUACCAAGGCGACGAUCUGUAGCCGGCCUGAGAGGGCGGUCGGCCACACUGACACUGACAUACGGGUCAGACUCCUACGGGAGGCAGCAGUCGGGAAUUUUGGGCAAUGGGCGAAAGCCUGACCCAGCAACGCCGCGUGAAGGAUGAAAUCCCUCGGGAUGUAAACUUCGCAAGAAUGGGAAGAAUUAGUAGGGGACAAUACCCCCUAUGAUGACGGUACCAUUUGUAAGCUCCGGCUAACUCCGUGCCAGCAGCCGCGGUAAUACGGGGGGAGCAAGCGUUGUUCGGAUUUACUGGGCGUAAAGGGCGCGUAGGCGGCCAGCGCAAGUCAGUUGUGAAAUCUCCGGGCUUAACUCGGAAAGGUCAACUGAUACUGCGCGGCUAGAGUGCAGAAGGGGCAACUGGAAUUCUCGGUGUAGCGGUGAAAUGCGUAGAUAUCGAGAGGAACACCUGCGGCGAAGGCGGGUUGCUGGGCUGACACUGACGCUGAUGCGCGAAAGCCAGGGGAGCGAACGGGAUUAGAUACCCCGGUAGUCCUGGCCUUAAACGAUGGAUGCUUGGUGUCUGGAGUUUUAUAGUCUCCGGGUGCCGCAGCUAACGCGUUAAGCAUCCCGCCUGGGGAGUACGGUC